AAAACUUUCAACAACGGAUCUCUUGGUUCCAGCAUCGAUGAGAACGCAGCGAAAUGCGAUAACUAAUGUGAAUUGCAGAAUUCAGUGAAUCAUCGAGUCUUUGAACGCACAUUGCGCCCCUCGGUAUUCCGGGGGGCAUGCCUGUUCGAGCGUCAUU
rnacentral:rRNA from 2 species